UGCCAGCAGCCGCGGUAAUACAUAGGGGUCAAGCGUUGUCCGGAUUUACUGGGCGUAAAGCGCGCGUAGGCUGUUUAAUAAGUUGUAUGUGAAAGCCCUGGGCUCAACCUAGGAACUGCAUACAAAACUAUUAAGCUUGAGGACGAGAGAGGAGAGUAGAAUUUCAGGUGUAGCGGUGAAAUGCGUAGAUAUCUGAAGGAAUACCAAUGGCGAAGGCAGCUCUCUGGCUCGUUUCUGUCACUAUAUCACGAAAGCGUGGGGAGCAAACAGGAUUAGAUA
rnacentral:rRNA from 1 species